rnacentral:rRNA from 1 species
GUAGGGAAUAUUGCACAAUGGAGGAAACUCUGAUGCAGCGACGCCGCGUGAGUGAUGAAGGCCUUCGGGUCGUAAAGCUCUGUCGCAGGGGAAUAACACAAUGAAGGUACCCUGUAAGAAAGGAUCGGCUAACUUCGUGCCAGCAGCCGCGGUAAGACGAGGGAUCCUAGCGUUGUUCGGAAUCAUUGGGCGUAAAGCGGAUGUAGGUGGCUAUGUAAGUCAGAUGUGAAAGCCUGGGGCUCAACCCCAGAAGUGCAUUUGAUACUGCGUAGCUGGAGUGUCGGAGAGGUUACUAGAAUUGUUGGUGUAGUGGUGAAAUACGUAGAUAUCAACAGGAAUACCGGAGGCGAAGGCGGGUAACUGGCCGAACACUGACACUGAGAUCCGAAAGCGUGGGGAUCAAACAGGAUUAGAAACCCCUGUAGUCC